rnacentral:misc_RNA from 1 species
GAUGAAGAACGUAGCGAAAUGCGAUAAGUAAUGUGAAUUGCAGAAUUCCGUGAAUCAUCGAAUCUUUGAACGCACAUUGCGCCCCCUGGUAUUCCGGGGGGCAUGCCUGUCCGAGCGUCAUUGCAACCCUCAAGCGCGGCUUGUGUGUUGGGCUUCGUCCCCCCGUGGACGUGCCCGAAAGGCAGUGGCGGCGUCCCGAAUGGUGCCCGAGCGUAUGGGAACUCUCUUCCGCUCGAACCGGCCCAUUCGGCGCUGGUCGAACCCCAAUUUUUUUUUACCGGUUGACCUCGGAUCAGGUAGGGAUACCCGCUGAACUUAAGCAUACAAUAAGCGGAGGA